rnacentral:rRNA from 1 species
GACGAACGCUGGCGGCGUGCUUAACACAUGCAAGUCGAACGGUGAAGCGCCUUCCUUUUUGGUGGGUGUGGAUGAGUGGCGAACGGGUGAGUAACACGUGGGUAACCUGCCCCCUUCUUCUGGAUAACCGCAUGAAAGUGUGGCUAAUACGGGAUAUUCUGGGUCUGUCGCAUGAUGGGUCUGGGAAAGAUAUUGUUUCGGUGGGGGAUGGGCUCGCGGCCUAUCAGCUUGUUGGUGGGGUGAUGGCCUACCAAGGCGGUGACGGGUAGCCGGCCUGAGAGGGUGGACGGUCACACUGGGACUGAGACACGGCCCAGACUCCUACGGGAGGCAGCAGUGGGGAAUAUUGCACAAUGGGCGCAAGCCUGAUGCAGCGACGCCGCGUGAGGGAUGGAGGCCCUCGGGUUGUGAACCUCUUUCGCCAGUGAAGCAGGCCUGCCUCGUUUGUGGGUGGGUUGACGGUAGCUGGAUAAGAAGCGCCGGCUAACUACGUG